UACGAGGGGGGCAAGCGUUGUUCGGAAUUAUUGGGCGUAAAGGGCGCGUAGGCGGUGCGGUAAGUCACCUGUGAAAACUCUGGGCUCAACUCAGAGCCUGCAGGCGAAACUGCCGUCCUUGAGUGUGGGAGAGGUGCGUGGAAUUCCCGGUGUAGCGGUGAAAUGCGUAGAUAUCGGGAGGAAUACCCAUAGCGAAGGCAGCUCGCUGGGACGGUACUGACGCUAAGGCGCGAAAGCGUGGGGAGCGAACAGG
rnacentral:rRNA from 1 species